AUUGAACGCUGGCGGCAGGCCUAACACAUGCAAGUCGAGCGGAUGAAGGGAGCUUGCUCCUGGAUUCAGCGGCGGACGGGUGAGUAAUGCCUAGGAAUCUGCCUGGUAGUGGGGGAUAACGUCCGGAAACGGGCGCUAAUACCGCAUACGUCCUGAGGGAGAAAGUGGGAGAUCUUCGGACCUCACGCUAUCAGAUGAGCCUAGGUCGGAUUAGCUAGUUGGUGGGGUAAAGGCCUGCCAAGGCGACGAUCCGUAACUGGUCUGAGAGGAUGAUCAGUCACACUGGAACUGAGACACGGUCCAGACUCCUACGGGAGGCAGCAGUGGGGAAUAUUGGACAAUGGGCGAAAGCCUGAUCCAGCCAUGCCGCGUGUGUGAAGAAGGUCUUCGGAUUGUAAAGCACUUUAAGUUGGGAGGAAGGGCAGUAAGUUAAUACCUUGCUGUUUUGACGUUACCAACAGAAUAAGCACCGGCUAACUUCGUG
rnacentral:rRNA from 1 species